rnacentral:rRNA from 1 species
CCAUUUAGUGGGGGACAACAUUCCGAAAGGAAUGCUAAUACCGCAUACGUCCUACGGGAGAAAGCAGGGGAUCUUCGGACCUUGCGCUAAAUGAUGAGCCUAAGUCGGAUUAGCUAGUUGGUGGGGUAAAGGCCUACCAAGGCGACGAUCUGUAGCGGGUCUGAGAGGAUGAUCCGCCACACUGGGACUGAGACACGGCCCAGACUCCUACGGGAGGCAGCAGUGGGGAAUAUUGGACAAUGGGCGGAAGCCUGAUCCAGCCAUGCCGCGUGUGUGAAGAAGGCCUUAUGGUUGUAAAGCACUUUAAACGAGGAGGAGGCUACUAGUAUUAAGCUACUGGAUAGUGGACGUUACUCGCAGAAUAAGCACCGGCUAACUCUGUGCCAGCAGCCGCGGUAAU